ACUCUCGGGUGAGUGAGCAAGUUACUCUUUGUGAGUAUGGUGAGUAACCAAUUUCCAAAGCAAAAUAAAAUUGUACAUUAGUAUGUUCUAUAUGUACUAGGUGGAAGACUGUAAAUGUAAAUAAUUCAAAGUGUUUACAGCUGCUGUCGACUUCAGUGUGUAUUGUGAUAUGCAGUUAUUUAGUAUGGUUGUUUAAACUUUACCGAUUUCAGAGUCAGUUUUUCAAAAUGGAUAAACAAGUUAUAUAUGCCAAAGUCCGAUUGUGUUCAAAUACUUCCCAGACCAAUUUAUUUCGUUUAGUGACAUAAAAUGUUUGUCCAUUAUUCAAGAUCUCGGCUCACAGAGACAGUUCGUGACAGCAGAAUCUCGGCUCACCUUGACGUACAUAAAUUUCGUAUCGGUUUCUCCCUCCCAGUGUUUACCGAUGUUAAAAGGGCCCUCUUUGAAUGUUAGUCAGGGGUUUUUGUGCCGACUCUAUUUUAAUCGAAUGACUGAAUUGUAUCUGAGCACCCCUAGCGAGGCACAACUCGCACGGCGGAUCGCAACGAUCACAACCGCGAGUAAACAAACAACCGUUUUUUAAACCGCUGCAAUUCGGUAAGUGUUCGUCCGUAUUUUCUUGAUUUUUAAAAAGCCGGAUUUUCGUCCGCGGGGGACAUCUGUGCUAUGUCCAAGUCCGACUCGCCGUGAAGUAUCCUGGCCCGGUUGGAACAGCUUAAGCAAUGGAAACAGGAAAAGCAGCGCGUUUUAUUGCAGAACCAAAUGGCCCAGCGGGAAUUGCUGAGCCAGUAACAGCAGAAAAUGUACGUCAUUCUGGGGCUGAAUCACGGGGGAGGGGAAAAUGACCCUAUACCGGAUGUUAGUGACAAGGACGAUUCGGAAUUUGAACAGACCAACAUGCAGCGAAAAGUGGCAGGGGAAUGGAGGCGAAGCGCUAGGGAACAACCUCCGGUUGAAAGUGACGAGGAGAUUGAGAGGGAACCAGUAAAACGGAGGGAUUUCAGCUGGACAAUUUGCCCAAAUAUAAGUAUGCCAAUCUCGCCAAAUCUAGAGCGCAAAAUGCCAAGAAACGACGGAUAAGUCUCAAAACCAUUCGGGUAGGAAUGCCGGAACGAGAGAAGAGUCGCCGCCGAGGGUGGCUUUGG